AGAUCUCAGAGCUUCUGUAGGUGGCAGGUCAGAAUCCUGUACCUGAAGUCUGAGGUGGACAGGGUAAAGGGGACAGGACAGUCCCCUGUGGAGCUCCCAUCAGCAGUGGCUGAUUCACUCCCGGUGCAAGGGAGCUGUUCAAACAGGAGAACCACUUGGCUCUGUACCAGCUGCCAUCUGGAGAGAAAACCAAGGAGUUAACCUCCCGCCACCUUCAUUACUUCACCAAACGCCAGCCUCCCAUGUCCCACCUCAUCUCUCUGUUCGUACGAGACUCCUCCUCCAAUAACAUCCAGAUGCUGUCACAUGGCUCGGCUGACCUCAUCCUGGAAGCCUGCACUGACUUCUGGGAUGGAACUGAUAUCUACCCCCUGUCGGGCUCAGACAGGUGCCGUCACACUGAUCGCUCUUCUGUGGCUGUAAAUCUUGAGUCAGACACAAGUAUCAAAGUUUCAUAAGCACAGCACAG